rnacentral:lncRNA from 1 species
AGACCGCCCAGGAGGCGGCGGCUAUUGUUCCCCGCAGGGGCCCGGGGCGCCCUGAAACGGGGUCCACGUCAGCCCGCUCCCGAGCGUGUCCUCAGGUCUAAGGACGGGUGGGGCUUCCUUUGUGUGUUCUCUGGAAGGGGCUGGGAUGGCGUCGUUGCUGCCCCAAGGGGUAACCGAGGGGGAUUGAGGGAAGAUGGUACCAGCUCCCUAGAGCUCAGCUCACCAGACCUACUCUUCCGCUCGACCCUUGCAGAGGAGGUGGGGACGGAUAUGGUAUUUGUAGGGCAGCGCUGUGAACAAUGGAGCCAUCAAAAAGGCCUUCUCCCAGCCUCCUCACCAACCACGGACAUUCCUGGCCCAACAAGACCUCCUGGCCAGGUUUUGAGCCCUGCUUCCCAGAUCUGGGGACCCUUCACCUGCCUCUACUACUGCAAAUGAUUGGAUAUUCGUCUGACUUGGCUCUUCCCUAAUGUGUGGAACUAAUUUUGUUCACUCUGUUUCAUGCUGGACCUGGCCUGAAAAUGGGCCCUUAUAUUGUCUUUGCACUUUCCAACUUGCCAAGUUUCUGAAAGAAGGACCAAAGUAAUGCCAAGAACUCCCAGAUGAAGAGGACCUUCCUUAGACCUAUAACAGAUUCACUACUUGACUUCAGAGGGAAGUUUCAGCUAAUUCUCAGGAAAAGGUCAAAACAGGCCUGUGACUGUCCCUUGAAUACUGAAGGUAUAAACAAGCUUCUGGCUCCUCCAGGUCAAGCAGAGGAACACUUUUAUUAGAAUGAAGGGUUACUUCUUUGUUAUUCAAACACACACCCACACACAUCCUCUGUAGUCUCCCUAAUGAAAAACCUCAACAGAUGGAGAGCCUGAGCUCCCAAGUCCGCAGGCUGAGAAGAUGCACUUCACUCAAGGGCCAGUGGGCUGGUACAGACUAGGGAAGAGAAAAGGGACAAAGGCUGCUAGUAUAGGUAAUCACUAUCUUUUAAUACUCCUAACACAUAGAAAUUCGAAAAAUCUUGUUCAGCAAUGUUAGCAGCCUGUGAGCCUCGGAAACUAAUUUGGCUGAUGUGUCUCUGAUAGGGAGCUUGGGGCUGCACCAAGGGGAAACAUUCUCCUCCUGUAUUCUCUCCUCUCUCUCGUUUGAAAGCCUGUACAAAGAAAUGGUACAAAUGGAUGGUUAACUUAAUGAUUCCAUCAGAGGCAGAUUUUUCUCUGUCAGGUCCCUGGAUAAGGUGGAGGUCUGAAAGCCAGGAGACAGAAUAUGUACUUAAUCGCCCUUUCUGACCUGCUUACCAGUGACCAGGACUACUCUCCAGGCCUUUCUUCUGCCACUUCCCCAUUCUUCCUGGCUAGUUCAGUUGGGUCUCAGCACUUCAACUCCUGGCUGGAUCCUGAGUUUUUCUUGGUUGCAGGGAAAGCUCUCACUGUCUGCAUCUCCUUCCCCACCCCCACCUCCCGUUUUGCAGCUGGCCAUUCUGGCUGCCUCACAGCUAUCCUGCCUUAAUUCAUAUUUGAUUGCCUGGACAGAACCACCUAGAAUGUCCAGACGACUGCCACCCCUCAGCCAUGGGCCUGAGAUCCUGCCCUGACCCCUUUCUUCAGACCCCAGGAGGACCCACAAUCUCCCUGAUCCCCACCUUCCCCAAAGUAGUCUCUAGGAAAAAAGCAGAGCUGGCUAAGGCCUGAGACAGAGCCAUUUCUUCCCCUUGGGCAAACGAGGUAGACCCUCCCAGAGACCAAUGCCGGAGAGGCCCGGAUCCGAGCUCCCUUUAUAUGGCCUCCCCCAUCACGGAUCCCGUGGGAAAACCUGACACACAAUGGCGCGGCUG